rnacentral:rRNA from 1 species
UGCGCAGGCGGCCCGAUAAGUCAGGGGUGGAAUAUGACGGCUUAACCGUCAAACUGCCCCUGAAACUGUCAGGCUUGAGUUCGAGAGAGGUAGGUGGAAUUCCAGGUGUAGCGGUGAAAUGCGUAAAUAUCUGGAGGAACACCGGUGGCGAAGGCGGCCUACUGGCUCGAUACUGACGCUCAGGCACGAAAGCAUGGGGGGCGAACAGGAUUAGAUACCCUGGUAGUCC